GAGUUUGAUCGUGGCUCAGAUUGAACGCUGGCGGCAUGCCUUACACAUGCAAGUCGAACGGCAGCACGGGAGCUUGCUCCUGGUGGCGAGUGGCGAACGGGUGAGUAAUGCAUCGGAACGUAUCCUGGAGUGGGGGAUAACGUAGCGAAAGUUACGCUAAUACCGCAUAUUCUGUGAGCAGGAAAGCGGGGGACCUUCGGGCCUCGCGCUCUUGGAGCGGCCGAUGUCGGAUUAGCUAGUUGGUGAGGUAAAGGCUCACCAAGGCGACGAUCCGUAGCAGGUCUGAGAGGAUGAUCUGCCACACUGGAACUGAGACACGGUCCAGACUCCUACGGGAGGCAGCAGUGGGAAUUUUGGACAAUGGGGGCAACCCUGAUCCAGCCAUGCCGCGUGAGUGAAGAAGGCC
rnacentral:rRNA from 30 species